CCCUUAGACGUUCUGGGCCGCACGCGCGCUACACUGACAAAGGCAACGGGCUACUCUUCACCGAAAGGUGUGGGUAAUCUUUUGAAACUUUGUCGUGCUGGGGAUAGAUCCUUGCAAUUUUUGAUCUUAAACGAGGAAUUCCUAGUAAGCGCAAGUCAUCAACUUGCGUUGAUUACGUCCCUGCCCUUUGUACACACCGCCCGUCGCUACUACCGAUUGAAUGGUUUAGUGAGGCCUUCGGAUCCGCGACUCGUUUGUGGAGAAGUUGGACAAACUCAGUCAUUUAGAGGAAGUAAAAGUCGUAACA
rnacentral:rRNA from 1 species